GGGCCUGGCCUAGAAGUGGGACGGGGGCUAGCGGCGGGGUGCAGGGCCGCGAGGGAGGUGAGGAGGUGGCUUUGGCCGGACCCAGCGGCCAGCUUAGCUGUCCCCUGUUGAAGGUGGCGGUGACCACCGGGCGCCGCUUCCCCCAUUGUCCCCUUCCCGGUCGUCUGCCGUUCUACCCGAGGACCCGUCGCUGCCCGUGGCGCCGCCGGGUUGCGGGAUUCCUGUGGGCACGCGCGACUCUCCAGCCAGAUGUUUCUGUCCCCAACGUCUCCUCCCCAGCACCCCAGCUACGGAGCUGUGUAGCGUGAUGGCUGCGUCUGAGGUAGCUGGUGUUGUGGCUAAUGCUCCCAAUCCUCCGGAAUCCUCUUCUAGUUUAUGUGCUUCCAAAUCUGAUGAAAGCCUCCCAGAUGGUCUAAGCCCCAAAGACCCUGCAGAGAAGCAGAAGAACUCGCCUCCGUCGAGUGUAAGUAGCCAAACGAUAACCAAGGAGAAUAACAGAAAUGUGCAUUUGGAACACCCAGAGCAGAAUCCCGGUUCAUCAGCAGGUGACACUUCAGCAGCGCACCAGGAGGUUUUAGGAGAAAACUUGAUAGCCACAGCACUUUGUCUUUCUGGCAGUGGGUCUCAGUCUGAUUUGAAGGACUUGGCCAGCACAGCAGGAGAGGAGGGGGACACGAGCCUCCAGGAGAGCCUCCAUCCAAUCACUCGGUCUCUUAAGGCAGGGUGCCAUACACAGCAGCUUGCCUCCAGGAAUUGCUCUGAAGAGAAAUCCCCACAAGCCUCCAUCCCAAAGGAAGGUAGCAGGGACACAGGCUUGGAUUUCCGACCUGUGAUGCCUCCAGCAAAUGGGGUUGAAGGAGUCAGAGUGGAUCAGGAUGAUGAUCAGGAUAGCUCUUCCCUGAAGCUUUCUCAGAACAUUGCUGUACAGACUGAUUUUAAGACGGCAGAUUCAGAGGUUAACACAGAUCAAGACAUUGAAAAGAAUCUGGACAAAAUGAUGACAGAGAGAACCUUGUUGAAGGAGCGUUACCAGGAAGUCCUGGACAAACAGAGGCAGGUGGAGAAUCAGCUCCAAGUGCAAUUAAAGCAACUUCAGCAAAGGCGAGAAGAAGAGAUGAAGAAUCAUCAGGAGAUUUUAAAGGCUAUUCAGGAUGUGACCAUAAAGCGAGAAGAAACAAAAAAGAAGAUAGAGAAAGAAAAGAAGGAGUUUUUGCAGAAAGAGCAGGAUCUGAAAGCUGAAAUUGAGAAGCUUUGUGAGAAGGGCAGAAGAGAAGUAUGGGAAAUGGAACUGGAUAGACUCAAGAAUCAGGAUGGUGAGAUAAAUCGGAACAUUAUGGAAGAGACAGAGCGGGCCUGGAAGGCAGAGAUCUUAUCACUAGAAAGCCGGAAAGAGUUGCUAGUAUUGAAACUAGAAGAAGCAGAAAAAGAAGCAGAACUGCACCUUACUUACCUCAAGUCAACUCCUCCAACAUUGGAGACAGUUCGUUCCAAACAGGAGUGGGAGACGAGACUGAAUGGAGUUCGGAUAAUGAAAAAGAAUGUUCGGGACCAAUUUAAUAGUCAUAUCCAGCUAGUGAGGAAUGGAGCUAAACUAAGCAGCCUUCCGCAAAUCCCUACCCCUACUUUGCCUCCACCCCCCUCAGAGACAGACUUCAUGCUUCAGGUGUUUCAGCCCAGUCCCUCCCUGGCUCCUCGGAUGCCCUUCUCCAUUGGGCAGGUCACAAUGCCCAUGGUUAUGCCCAGUGCAGAUCCCCGUUCCUUGUCUUUCCCAAUCCUGAAUCCUGCCCUUUCCCAAUCCAACCAGCCUUCCCCACCUCUUCCUGGCUCCCAUGGGAGAAAUAGCCCUGGCUUGGGUUCUCUUGUUGGCCCCCAUAGUCCACACAUGCCCCCUGCUGCCUCCAUCCCGCCUCCCCCAGGCUUGGGUGGUGUUAAGGCUGCUACUGAAACUCCCCGGCCCCAACCAGUAGACAAACUGGAGAAGAUCCUGGAGAAGCUGCUGACUCGGUUCCCACAGUGCAAUAAGGCUCAGAUGACCAACAUUCUUCAGCAAAUCAAGAUAGCACGUACCACCAUGGCAGGUCUGACCAUGGAGGAACUGAUCCAGUUGGUAGCUGCACGACUGGCAGAGCAUGAGCGGGUGGCAGCAAGCACUCAGCCACUUGGUCGGAUCCGGGCCUUGUACCCUGCUCCACUGGCCCAAAUCAGUACCCCAAUGUUCUUGCCUUCUGCCCAAGUUUCAUAUCCUGGAAGGUCUUCACAUGCUCCAGCCACUUGUAAGCUGUGUCUUAUGUGCCAGAAACUUGUCCAGCCCAAUGAGCUGCAUCCAAUGGCUUGCUCUCAUGUGUUGCACAAGGAGGAGACUUUGCUUAGAGGAGAGAAAUGGAAUAAGGAGCCUGAAUGUGAGAUUAGUAACUGCAUUAACAGACUAGCCUGAAGGACUACCUAGGAGAUUAUCUCCAUUGACUCACAGAUCAUUCUUGUUUGCUUACAUUAUUAGGCAGAGUGUAUCAAAUUCUGGGCCCAGACCAACACAAAUGACACUUGUCCCUUUUGUCCAACUCUAAAAUGAUGGACCUGACUGGGGAGGAAGAAGAGGAGAAACUGAUGUGAACAGGAAGUGCGGGUUCAAGAUUUCUAAAACUCUAUAUUUAUACAGUGACAUAUACUCACGCCAUGUACAUUUUUAUUAUAUAGGUAAUGUGUGUAUAGAAAGUCUGUAUUGAAAUGUUCGUAAAUGAAAGUAUGUAUAUAAUGCAGAAACACUCUGUCCCCUGCUUAUCUUGUAGCUCUUUUGGGGGAUACAGAUUGUAGGGAAGAUACUGUUUAGUUUGGCCUUGAAAUUAUGAUAUCCUUGCCCUAGGGCUGUUUUCAAAUACAUCUAGGAAGCUGCUGUUGCUCUAAGGCCAUCCUGCUUGGGUUUGGCUCUGCCUCUAAUUCAUUUUCUUAAGGCUCAUGUAUGCAGAUUUGAAGCUUGGUGCUCACCUGCUGUCCAACCAGCUGCCUUGCUUACCGAAAGCCUCCAGAAUCCUCAGUAUUGUUCUAGCUGCUCCACUUCAAAUGGAUAAAAUAAGACUCCGAGGAGAAAAAUGUAACCCUAA